ACAUCCAGCGAAUUCGGUAGAGAUACCUUAGUGCCUUCGGGAACGCUGAGACAGGUGCUGCAUGGCUGUCGUCAGCUCGUGUUGUGAAAUGUUGGGUUAAGUCCCGCAACGAGCGCAACCCUUAUCCUUUGUUGCCAGCGGUCCGGCCGGGAACUCAAAGGAGACUGCCAGUGAUAAACUGGAGGAAGGUGGGGGUGACGUCAAGUCAUCAUGGCCCUUACGAGUAGGGCUACACACGUGCUACAAUGGCGCAUGCAAAGAGAAGCGACCUCGCGAGAGCAAGCGGACCUCAUAAAGUGCGUCGUAGUCCGGAUUGGAGUCUGCAACUCGACUCCAUGAAGUCGGAAUCGCUAGUAAUCGUAGAUCAGAAUGCUACGGUGAAUACGUUCCCGGGCCUUGUACACACCGCCCGUCACACCAUGGGAGUGGGUUGCAAAAGAAGUAGGUAGCUUAACCUUCGGGAGGGCGCUUACCACUUUGUGAUUCAUGACUGGGGUGAAGUCGUAACAAGGUAGGCGUAGCGAG
rnacentral:rRNA from 1 species